CUACCGCCCCCUAUGUGAAGAAUGACGCCCAAAUAAGGGUGCAUACUUUUGAGAGCUCCUCCUAGGGCUUUUCUCUUAUUCAGUCCAAACAAGGCACAUUCUAUAGCAGACAUAUUGACGAUUAAAUUAUUGUUAAAGGAAUUCUGUUCAGACAAAAAUUGUGGGCAUGGCAGGCGUUGAGGUGGUGCAUCAAGAUACAAAGGAGAAACAAGCUCUGCAGAACUCAUUUAAACAGCAAGGAAGGACAUCCAGUGGCAAACAUCUGUUGUGAUGAGUCAAGCUGCACAUCUGGAAAUAAAGGACAACACCAUCCAGGAGUUACAGGAAAAAUUACAAAACAAAAUGGAGGAAACUAAAAUGCUUGUCCAAGCAUUCGCCAAAGGAAUGGAUGCAGAUUGGAUAGAUGACAAAGAAGGACAUGCAGGUCCAUCUGACAGUGCAGAUGACAAGCUCACUCACCAUGAGGCCACCUGAUCAGAAGCCAGCACCUUGCUGAUGAACCACUUCCCAGAUCAAAAUGUACAAAUACUGUUGUGUAUAAGCUGUUUCUUAAUUUUUGGUAAGAUAUUAUU